rnacentral:rRNA from 1 species
CCUACGGGCGGCAGCAGUGGGGAAUAUUGGACAAUGGGGGCAACCCUGAUCCAGCCAUGCCGCGUGUGUGAAGAAGGCCCUCGGGUUGUAAAGCACUUUCAGUGAGGAAGAACGCCUGGUGGUUAAUACCCAUCAGGAAAGACAUCACUCACAGAAGAAGCACCGGCUAACUCCGUGCCAGCAGCCGCGGUAAUACGGAGGGUGCGAGCGUUAAUCGGAAUUACUGGGCGUAAAGCGCGCGUAGGUGGCUUGAUAAGCCGGUUGUGAAAGCCCCGGGCUCAACCUGGGAACGGCAUCCGGAACUGUCAAGCUAGAGUGCAGGAGAGGAAGGUAGAAUUCCCGGUGUAGCGGUGAAAUGCGUAGAGAUCGGGAGGAAUACCAGUGGCGAAGGCGGCCUUCUGGACUGACACUGACACUGAGGUGCGAAAGCGUGGGUAGCAAACAGGAUUAGAUACCCCGGUAGU